rnacentral:rRNA from 1 species
UCCGGUUGAUCCCGCCGGACCCCACUGCUAUCGGGAUAGGACUAAGACAUGCUAGUUGAGCGCUUCAGCCAAAACGAGGCGCAGCAUACAGCUCAGUAGCACGUGGCUAAUCUGCCCUUAGGAUAGGAACAACCCCGGGAAACUGGGGCUAAUUCCCAAUAGGCGAAGAACUCUGGAAUGAGUCUUCACCCCAAAAGAACCCACGUUACGCUCGUGGGCCUCGCCUAAGGAUGAGGCCGCGGCCGAUCAGGUUGUUGGUGAGGUAAUGGCUCACCAAGCCUUUUACCGGUGCGGGCCGUGAGAGCGGGAGCCCGGAGAUGGGUACUGAGACAAGGACCCAGGCCCUACGGGGCGCAGCAGUCGCGAAAACUUUGCAAUACACGCAAGUGUGACAGGGCUAUCCCGAGUGCCAUCCGCUGAGGAAGGCUUUUACCCAGUCUAGAAAGCUGGGGGAAUAAGGAGAGGGCAAGUCUGGUGUCAGCCGCCGCGGUAAUACCAGCUCUCCGAGUGGUGUGGACGUUUAUUGGGCCUAAAGCAUCCGUAGCUGGCUGGGCAAGUCCCCUGUUAAAUCCACCGAUUUAAUCGUUGGUGUGCGGGGGAUACUGCUCGGCUAGGGGACGAGAGAGGCAAGCGGUAUUCCCGGGGUAGGGGUGAAAUCCUAUAAUCCCGAGAAGACCACCAGUGGCGAAGGCUGCUUGCUAGAACGCGCCCGACGGUGAGGGAUGAAAGCUGGGGGAGCGAACCGGAUUAGAUACCCGGGUAGUCCCAGCUGUAAACGAUGCAGACUAGGUGUUUGGACGGCCACGUGCCGUUCUAGUGCCGCAGGGAAGCUGUUAAGUCUGCCGCCUGGGGAGUACGAUCGCAAGAUUGAAACUCAAAGGAAUUGGCGGGGGAGCACCACAAGGGGUGAAGCUUGCGGUUUAAUUGGAGUCAACGCCGGGA